ACAAAAACACUAAAUGGUGUAAUAAUGAAGCCAGUUCUGUGUAUUUUCGUAUUUCUCUCCGUUUUGCGGUUGAUCAGAGGCGUAGCCUUUCCUGUUAUGGAUCCGUUCUUACUCCAGCCAGAUACAGACUAUGAAGAUGUUGAUGAAUGGGCCAAAUGGUAAAUUCGCGAAGCAAAAAGCCAAACAGCAGAGAAGCAGAAAUAUAUUUUUGGACACUGAUGCUGCAUUUUAGAAUACUUUAAAAUGUAACCCUUGAGCGCUGCCAACUGCAUUUAAACGAUGUACAUUUAACAUGCAAUUCGCCCAACAGCAGCACAUAAAUAUUCAUUUUUUCUGUUAUGGUAAAGACCCUAAGGUCAAGCCCUAAGGCUCCUCCUCCGGGGGACAUCAGGUGGAAGAACAUUUAUAUAUUUGAGCCUAUAUCCAAUAUAGUUUGGGUCUAGUGACAGUAACUCAAACCUUGCCCAAUGGGGAUCCAUUUGAAAACGAACCGGAUGUGGACUACCAGGAUUUGGAUGAAUGGGCCAGUUAAAGCAUAAGGGCUGGUGCUGUUUCCUCUAGCGUUGCCUAAUGAUGCCACUGCUGCUGCCCUCGACGAUGCCACUGCUGCUGCAGCGGCUCUUCCUCUACGUUGCAUACAAUAUUUGGAACAGAGAAAAAAUUUAAUUAAAACAAACAAUAUGUUACCUAAAUUGUUGCCGGACUGGCAGGGUUUCGGUAGUUGCAGAAUAUUGCAGUUUUCGUUGCGAAAAACCCCCUGGACCUGGGCAAAGUUUGUUGUUAAUACAUUUACUCGGCUUAAUUAGCUGAGAUUUUACAUUAUUCAUGGCCACGUGUGACCACCAAGUGUGCUUAACCUUUUGUGC